rnacentral:rRNA from 1 species
GACGAACGCUGGCGGCGUGCCUAAUACAUGCAAGUAGAACGCUGAGGGCGGGCCUUGCUUCUCUGGAUGAGUUGCGAACGGGUGAGUAACACGUAAGUAACCUGCCUGGUAGCGGGGGAUAACUAUUGGAAACUAUAGCUAAUACCGCAUAACAGUAGCUAUCGCAUGAUGUCUACUGGAAAGGUGCAGUUGCAUCGCUACCAGAUGGAGCUGCGUUGUUUGAGCUAGUUGGUGAGGUAACGGCGCACCAAGGCGACGAUACAUAGCGAGACGGUGAGGGUGAUCAGCCACACUGGGACGGAGACAGGGCCCAGACGCAUACGGGAGGCAGCAGUAGGGAAUCGUCGGCCAUGGAUGGAAGUCUGACCGAGCUACGCCGCGGGAGUGAAGAAGGUCGUCGGAUCGUAGAGCUCGGUUGUAAGAGAAGAACGAGUGUGCGAGUGGAAAGUUCACACUGUGACGGUAUCGUACCAGAAAGGAACGGCUAACUACGUG